rnacentral:rRNA from 1 species
UCAGUUCGGACUGGAGUCUGCAACCCGACUCCACGAAGCUGGAUUCGCUAGUAAUCGCGCAUCAGCCACGGCGCGGUGAAUACGUUCCCGGGCCUUGUACACACCGCCCGUCAAGCCAUGGGAGCCGGGGGUACCUGAAGUGCGUAACCGCGAGGAGCGCCCUAGGGUAAAACUGGUGACUGGGGCUAAGUCGUAACAAGGUAUC